AUUCCAUGGUGAGGACAUUUCCUUAACAACUCAUUGAAUCUUUCUCAAACAUUAAACAGAGACUCAUCAUCUCAUUGUUUAAAUGAAGUAAUAUCUUUUCUCAUUUU